rnacentral:rRNA from 1 species
GGAAGGUUGAAAGGUGGCUUCGGCUAUCACUUACAGAUGGACCCGCGGCGCAUAGCUAGUUGGUGAGGUAAUGGCUCACCAAGGCGACGAUGCGUAGCCGACCUGAGAGGGUGAUCGGCCACACUGGGACUGAGACACGGCCCAGACUCCUACGGGAGGCAGCAGUAGGGAAUCUUCCGCAAUGGACGAAAGUCUGACGGAGCAACGCCGCGUGAGUGAAGAAGGUUUUCGGAUCGUAAAACUCUGUUGUUAGGGAAGAACAAGUGCCGUUCGAAUAGGGCGGCGCCUUGACGGUACCUAACCAGAAAGCCACGGCUAACUACCGUGCCAGCAGCCGCGGUAAUACGUAGGUGGCAAGCGUUGUCCGGAAUUAUUGGGCGUAAAGCGCGCGCAGGUGGUUUCUUAAGUCUGAUGUGAAAGCCCACGGCUCAACCGUGGAGGGUCAUUGGAAACUGGGGAACUUGAGUGCAGAAGAGGAAAGUGGAAUUCCCAGUGUAGCGGGUGAAAUGGCGUAGAUAUUUGGGAGGAACACCAGUGGCGAAAGGCGACUUUCUGGUCUGUAACUGACACUGAGGCGCGAAGCGUGGGGGAGCAAACAGGAUUAGAUACCCUGGGUAGUCCACGCCCGUAAACGAUGAGUGCUAAGUGUUAGAGGGUUCCGCCCCUUAGUGCUGCAGCUACGCACUAAGCACUCCGCCUGGGGGAGUACAGGUCGCAGACUGAAACUCAAAGGAAUGACGGGGGGCCGCACAGCGGUGGAGCAUGUGGUUAUUCGAGCACGCGAGACCUACCAGGUCUGACAUCUCUGACAACCUAAGAUAGGCUUCCCUCGGGACAGAU